CGGGAGGAGUGGGAGAAGUAAGAGUCCCACUUCAGGGAUCAGCAAACUAAGGUCUGGGCUUGAUGUUCACCAGUUUUUCCUUAGCUCCGACUGUGGCUCCUCUCAGCGGACUCUGAUCCUGCUCUCUGCAGGGCUGCGUCUGCCCAUCCCAGCACAUCAAUAAACAGCAGAGGGAAACUACCACCUUGGAGGGAGCCAGGCAGUUUCUGCUGGGCGGGCUGGGCCGGAGCAUGGAAGCAGCUUUUUCCAUCCCACACUGGAAACCAUCCAGCACCCCCGGCCCUCCUUAGAGAGGAGCCAGAUUCCUUUCCCCAGGAAGACACUAUAGUCCUAUCUGUGUCCUCCGUGGUCAUUGCCCUUCAGUCACAGCAGGGAAAGAAGAAUUGGAAACAUGAAACACUGCCAUUGGCCUGGCUGAAAGAUCAGUUCCCAGAAAAAUGCCGUGAAACUACCAUGUUAUACAUCAUGCAGGCUAAGAGUGCAGCCCUGAUGUUGAUUCCUCUGGAAAAAUCUAUCUUGAGCAUGGACAGUGUUAAGAGCCAGAGAUACAAAACGCAUUAACCGGAUCCCUAAGGAGGCCACCCACAGACCACUGCCGAAGAAGAGAACAGAGAAAAAUAAGCGUUUGCCAGGCAAAGGAAAUGGCAAAGAGUAUUCUCAGCAGAACAAAUAACAUA
rnacentral:lncRNA from 13 species